rnacentral:rRNA from 1 species
CCUACGGGUGGCAGCAGUGAGGAAUAUUGGUCAAUGGGCGCGAGCCUGAACCAGCCAAGUCGCGUGAGGGAAGACGGUCCUAUGGAUUGUAAACCUCUUUUGUCGGGGAGCAAAAGACGCCACGCGUGGCGUUCCGAGAGUACCCGAAGAAAAAGCAUCGGCUCACUCCGUGCCAGCAGCCGCGGUAAUACGGCGGCUGCGAGCGUUAUCAGGUGUUGUUGGUUUUAAAGGGUGCGCAGGCGGAAGAUCAAGUCAGCGGUAAAAUUGAGGGGCUCAACCUCUUCGAGCCGUUGAAACUGGUUUUCUUGAGUGAGUGAGAAGUCGGCGGAAUGCGUGGUGUAGCGGUGACAUGCAUAGAUAUCACGCAGAACUCCGAUGGCGAAGGCAGCAUACCGGCGCUCAACUGACGCUCAUGCACGAAAGUGUGGGUAUCGAACAGGAUUAGAUACCCCUGUAGUC